rnacentral:rRNA from 1 species
UCAAAAAACGCCGACCU